rnacentral:rRNA from 1 species
CCUACGGGGGGCAGCAGUGGGGAAUAUUGCACAAUGGGGGAAACCCUGAUGCAGCAACGCCGCGUGAGCGAUGAGGGCCUUCGGGUCGUAAAGCUCUGUCCUAAGGGAAGAAUACUGACGGUACCUUAGGAGGAAGCCCCGGCUAACUACGUGCCAGCAGUCGCGGGAAUACGUAGGGGGCGAGCGUUAUCCGGAAUCACUGGGCGUAAAGGGUGCGUAGGCGGCCGAUUAAGCCAGGGGUGAAAGGCUACGGCUCAACAGUAGUAAGCCCUUGGAACUGAUUGGCUUGAGUGGAGGAGAGGAGAGUGGAAUUCAUAGUGUAGCGGUGAAAUGCGUAGAGAUUAGGAGGAACACCAGUGGCGAAGGCGACUAUCUGGACUGUAACUGACGCUGAGGCACGAAAGUGUGGGGAGCAAACAGGAUUAGAUACCCCGGUAGUC